rnacentral:piRNA from 1 species
UGAAACGGAUUGUUGAUCUGCUUUUUAUA